UACAGAGGGGGCAAGCGUUGUUCGGGAUUACUGGGCGUAAAGGGCGCGUAGGCGGCCUGUUAAGUCAGACGUGAAAUCCCUCGGCUCAACCGGGGAACUGCGUCUGAUACUGGCGGGCUUGAAUUCGGGAGAGGGAUGUGGAAUUCCAGGUGUAGCGGUGAAAUGCGUAGAUAUCUGGAGGAACACCGGUGGCGAAGGCGGCAUCCUGGACCGACAUUGACGCUGAGGCGCGAAAGCCAGGGGAGCAAACGGG
rnacentral:rRNA from 1 species